AUUGAACGCUGGCGGCAUGCUUUACACAUGCAAGUCGAACGGUAACAGCACUUCGGUGGCUGACGAGUGGCGAACGGGUGAGUAAUACAUCGGAACGUGCCUAGUAGUGGGGGAUAACUACUCGAAAGAGUAGCUAAUACCGCAUGAGAUCUAAGGAUGAAAGCAGGGGACCUUCGGGCCUUGCGCUACUAGAGCGGCUGAUGGCAGAUUAGGUAGUUGGUGGGAUAAAAGCUUACCAAGCCGACGAUCUGUAGCUGGUCUGAGAGGACGACCAGCCACACUGGGACUGAGACACGGCCCAGACUCCUACGGGAGGCAGCAGUGGGGAAUUUUGGACAAUGGGCGCAAGCCUGAUCCAGCAAUGCCGCGUGCAGGAUGAAGGCCUUCGGGUUGUAAACUACUUUUGUACGGAACGAAAAGCCCUCUUCUAAUACAGGAGGGUCAUGACGGUACCGUAAGAAUAAGCACCGGCUAACUACGUG
rnacentral:rRNA from 1 species